rnacentral:rRNA from 1 species
UACGAGAGGCCCAAACGUUAUUCGGAAUUACUGGGCUUAAAGAGUUCGUAGGCGGCGCGGAAAGUGGGGUGUGAAAGCCCUCGGCUCAACCGAGGAAUUGCGCUCCAAACUACCGUGCUUGAGGAAGCUAGAGGUGAGCGGAACUGAUGGUGGAGCGGUGAAAUGCGUUGAUAUCAUCAGGAACACCGGAGGCGAAGGCGGCUCACUGGGGCUUUUCUGACGCUGAGGAACGAAAGCCAGGGUAGCGAAC